CCUACGGGAGGCAGCAGUGAGGAAUAUUGGACAAUGGGUGGAAGCCUGAUCCAGCCAUCCCGCGUGAAGGACGACGGCCCUAUGGGUUGUAAACUUCUUUUGUACAGGGAUAAACCUCCCCUCGUGAGGGGAGCUGAAGGUACUGUACGAAUAAGCACCGGCUAACUCCGUGCCAGCAGCCGCGGUAAU
rnacentral:rRNA from 1 species